UCGAGAAUCUUCGGCAAUGGGCGCAAGCCUGACCGAGCGACGCCGCGUGGAGGAUGAAGGCCUUCGGGUUGUAAACUCCUGUCGAGGGGGAGGAAGGGGCGACCUUGACCGAUCCCUGGAGGAAGCACGGGCUAAGUUCGUGCCAGCAGCCGCGGUAAGACGAACCGUGCGAACGUUAUUCGGAAUCACUGGGCUUAAAGCGCGUGUAGGCGGAUGGGAGCGUCGGAACCUGAAAGCCCCCGGCUCAACCGGGGAAGUGGGGCCGAAACGACCCGUCUCGAGGGACGUAGGGGGAGCUGGAACUUCCGGUGGAGCGGUGAAAUGCGUUGAGAUCGGAAGGAACGCCCGUGGCGAAAGCGAGAUCCUGGACGUCUUCUGACGCUGAGACGCGAAAGCUAGGGGAGCAAACGG
rnacentral:rRNA from 1 species